UGAUCUCUGUCUGUCAACUAAAUGAAUAAAAUCUUAAAAACAAAAACAAAAGCAAGGCGACCUGUGCCAGGCUCAGGUACUUCCUAUGGGCCCUCUGGAGGUGAAAGCGAAUGAGGAAAGGCUUGUCCUGUGAUCACUUCUGCUCAGCUCCAGUACCGGCCAUACCUCCAGCUCAGCUCAUGGGCAGCAAGACACGGCCCCAACAGGAAGGCCGGGGGAGGCUGGGCUUCUUGUCUUCAGUUCACAUUCCUGCAGUUCAGUCACCUGUAGAAUAAUGUCCAGCUCGCCCUAUCUCAUGGCUGAGCUGGUUUUACCUUUAAUCCCUUUCACGUUUGUCCUCAGCCUUGGAGAAUGCCUGGGGAUGAUUCACCCGCCAUCACAUGGGGCAAGCAGUCAUCUGUUUUAUUACCUCACCCUGCUUGCCGCUUCUGGGAGAUAACCUAGGAUUCUUUUGUUGGGGGGGGUGGUUGAUGGAGGUAGUCAGGACUCAAAAGCAGAUGAAGGCUUUAAGGAGUUAGUUUCUGUUAUGGUCUCUCUUUCCUGCUCCCCUGCUCAUGUCUCAAAGCCCAAAGAAAAAGGGAAAAUCCCAGGGUUUGGGCACCUGGGCUUAAAAUUCAAGCUGAAUUUAGCAGUCUCCAACAUGUUUCCCUUCACAACCAACACCAGCCAGUGAGAAGGCUAGGUUGCAAGAGACGACAAAAAGGAAAUCAGCAGUUGGGAGGAUUGUCACAAGCAACCACGCCCAAUUUUCAAGAAGGCAAAGGACAACACAGGUUUGUGUUUUGGAACAGAAAAGACUUCAUUGAUUCCUAUUUCAUAGGGGCAUACUUGCUGCAGGCUUGGCACUCUUAAUGUACCACAAUGAGGCCCCCGAGGUGAUGGCUUACCACUGAGUGCCAAGCCCUCUAUAUUUCUCAUCUCCUGGAGCCAUUAAAACAAGCCUUGUGGAAUCUAUGGGAUGGUUUUCAGACCUAAGACUUGAGACUUUGGUUAAGAAAGUUACUCACGGUAACACUGGGAGAAAACAGGACAGAUGUGGCCCCAAACAGUUUCCAGAGCUCCUGCCUCUUAGCAGAAUACUUAUGAAGCAAGCAUCAACAGAGACAAGCAUUCAUCACCAUCCACAGUGUUCCAGAUCCAGACUACGGUGAUUUUGCUUUGUUUCUUCUUCCCCCAAAUCCAUAACAUACCUACCUCAAAGUAUCACAGGACAGAACCGCUUGUGAAGGUGGAGCCCACAGCCUGGGACGGGCUAAGUACCCCAUUUAACUAACAAGUCCAUCAUUACUAUUACUUUACAAAAUGCUUCCCCUGACACCCCUUGGAAUUCGUCCCGGGGGGAGGGGAUUCAUAGUAUGCACUCCUAAUUUUAGGGACCCAGAGGAGAGCCAGCUACAUUAGCAAACACGGGGGUGGGGGUGGGGGAUGGUGAAACAACAUGGGGAGAAGAAUGGAAUGAGAGGGAGACAGAUGGUGCGUGUGUUGGGGGAAGGGAUCAGAGAUCCAGGAAAACUUAUGUUCCCUGAAUCGCAAGAAUGUUUCCAUUUAACCACUUCUUGCCUGACUCGUGAUUCUACAUAAAAGAGAAGUGGGGAGUUUUAAGAUUUGGGGCCACCUGUACUUAGACGCGAGGUGCAGAGCCAGGAGCGUUGGGAAGCAGGGGCGUAGCGGCUCUUGCUCCAGUCACCUGGGGAUCCAGUCCGCGUCCGGGAUCCAGGUAAGGGGUGGUCUCCCUUUCCCCUGGCAGGGGCGGCCUAGGGGCGGCUGGCGGUUCGGACUGUCCCGCGAGGGGGCGCG
rnacentral:lncRNA from 1 species